rnacentral:rRNA from 1 species
AUCACUUGUCUUUUAAAUAAAGACCUGUAUGAAUGGCAUGACGAGGGCUUAACUGUCUCCUUCUCCCGGUCAAUGAAAUUGAUCUCCCCGUGCAGAAGCGGGGAUAUUAUUAUAAGACGAGAAGACCCUGUGGAGCUUUAAAUGAUGAGAGAUUUUAUGCAACAAACCUAAAAAGGUAUAAGCGAAUUUAUACUCCCUCUAAUAUUUUUGGUUGGGGCGACCGCGGAGUAAAAAGAAACCUCCGUGAGGAAUGAGGUAAUUAACCUUAAAUCCCAGAACGACAAUUCAAAGAAACAAAAUUUUUGACCUAAAGAUCCGGCAAAGCCGAUCAACGAACCUAGUUACCCCAGGGAUAACAGCGCAAUCCCCUUCAAGAGUCCCUAUCGACAAGGGGGUUUACGACCUCGAUGUUGGAUCAGGAUAUCCUAAUGGUGUAGCCGCUAUUAAGGGUUCGUUUGUUCAACGAUUAAAAUCCU